GACGUAGGGUGCAAGCGUUGUCCGGAUUUAUUGGGCGUAAAGAGCUCGUAGGCGGCCUGUCGCGUCGGAUGUGAAAGCCCGGGGCUUAACCCCGGGUCUGCAUUCGAUACGGGCAGGCUAGAGUGUGGUAGGGGAGAUCGGAAUUCCUGGUGUAGCGGUGAAAUGCGCAGAUAUCAGGAGGAACACCGGUGGCGAAGGCGGAUCUCUGGGCCAUUACUGACGCUGAGGAGCGAAAGCGUGGGGAGCGAACAGG
rnacentral:rRNA from 1 species